rnacentral:rRNA from 1 species
GAACAAGUGGAUAAUGUUGGGGUGAACCAAAAAAGUUUGGGUAGAGCCGGAUCUAAGUGUUGGCUAGGUAAACGCCCCUUAGAAAGAGGGGUAGUUAUUAACCAUGUGGACUGUUGGAAGUAUGCCCUAGAGGCAAUAAUAAAGUGGUUGUUAUUAUAUUUCCUUGUUCAUGAUAAUUGUCUAUUGUUCAAGCUAUAA